UCAUCUCUCAGGGAUUUAGAGCU
rnacentral:piRNA from 1 species